GAUUGGAAACCUUGGGAGAUUGCAACUCGUUGUUAAGUUUUCCAUUGUUCUGAGUAAGGUCCAGACUCAAACCAAGAGUUUGACCAGGGCUAUUGUUUGGUCCCAGAUUUUGAUUGGCAUCUCGAACUAAGCAAGACACUUGAACUGGAGAAGAUUUCCCAAAACUAGAAAGCUCUGGUGACUUAUUCACAUUUUCUGUCGACCUCUGUAAUCCAUGAGUCAACUUUAAAGCAUUAUUUGGCAGCAUGCCCGCUUGCUUAACAGGUGGCAUCAGUGCUUUCCGUGGUAUUUCCUUCACAUACUGUGCUGGCACGUAAAAGGGUUUGGAAUUUUCAUCCCUUUUCACUUGCCACCAAUCGUCAUUAGUCUUCUUCACUAAUAUAUAUUUCUCCCCCUGUUUAAUCACAAUUUUCUUGUCCUUGGCCUCGUACUCGUAGUCAUACUCCACUUCAAUGUACAGCUGUCCCGGAAGGAUCUUCGCACUCCUAUCAGCCAUCUCCACCCAAAGAAAUUUCACCUCUUCCGGCAAACACUUGGCCACAUUCUGCUUCUGAAGCGUUACUUUCCUGUUAACAAUCAGAGCUGUCCCGGCGGCGCGGACCCGGCUGCGGCGGCGGCGGAGGCGGCUGCGCGCGUGCCCUGCCCGCCGCUCGCGGCGCGACCCCUGCGUCGAGUGUCAGCUCCUGGGCACGGCGGC
rnacentral:lncRNA from 1 species